UUCUCCCUGGACUUUGGCAAGCACUCUUGGCAUCUUCAGCUCACUCAGGGCCAAUCCCUUCUCUCCUGGGACCUACUUUUCCACUCAACCUUAUCAUCUGUUGGGAUUCCCACCCUUCUCUAGACUCCCUGGAUGUUAAAUUCAAGUCAACAGCUGCCAAAGAACUUUCUGUGAGUCGAGGACACUACGAAGCAUGGAAGGAUUAGAGGGAAGUCCAACCAAGCUCAUGGCACUUGCCUGGGGACCACUUCAGUAUCAACCAUCUCUACAGGAUCUCUGACAUCAGAAUCAUAAGGUUUUUGUUUAAGGAUCACUUAAGAUGGUUUUCAGACCUGGAAUUCCAGCAGUGAAAUUCUUCAAAACUCUGCUUUGAAGAUGCCCACAGAGGAACAAGAUCAGCUCGAGAACACAGCUUCUUCACCUCCUGGUCCCAUGACCUCACUCUGCACUCUUCCACCAAUCAACCAUCUCCACACUUUGGCCCACUCCAAAACCGUUAAAAAUUCUAACCCUCAAUUCCACAGGGAGAUGGAUUUGAACUUCCCUCCCAUUUCCUCAUUCAGCAACCCUAUAAUUAAACCUCUUUCUCUGCUGCAACCCAGCGUCUCAGUGUACUGACUUGCUGUGUGCAUCGGGCAAUGAAGCCAUUACAGUUACAAUGGCAUCUGAAGACUAAACAUUUUGGGGGACUCUCUUUUUUUUAAAUGAAUACAAAAUUGCAAAUACAAAACCUACUAUGAAAAUGAACAUUUAAAUGAGAAAAUAAAUGACAAUUAUGAAAUUUAAAAGCUCACAAAGACCUCAAACUUUACGAAAUCCAGAAAAAUAUCUAGUACCUUUCCCAAUGAAUCGGUGGAAACACUCCUGUGAUUCCUUUUUGCUACUCUCGUGGACUGUGCUGCUUUGAUGGCCUUUUCAUGAUAACGAUUUUUAACAUUGUUUUCUAUAGAGACAAUAGAAAGAUCAGUCUUUCCUCCAGUGUGCUUGAUCUCCUUUUUAUAAAAUUAUUGAUAGUGUUGCAAAGUUUCUUUCAGAUUCACUAGUUGUCCCUGGUAAUUAGUUUCCACUGUGAUGUGUUAAGAAGCCUGACAUUUUGAAGUAUCUGUGGAUCUCCUUCUACUUUACGUUUUUGACUACUACCGAGAUACUCCUACCUUCCUAUCCUAUUUGAAUUUUGGUAUGAUCAGUAAUUCAUAUGUGUGUGUGUGUGUGUUUGUGAAAUUAACACGAAGUUAAGGUGUAUAUAUUGUGCUGCAGAGCUGCAUAAUUGAAUAAUAAAAUAAAAUUACUCUGAUGCUACAUGCAUUGAUGUAAGCCUGUGUAGUUUUGCCACAAGAGCACUUGUUCCUUCAGGCUGUUUUGCUGCAUCCGUAGCAAUUUUGCAUGCUCUUUUUCUUUCUGGAUCCACCGGCCUCCAUCAGGACAAGAUGUGUCAGAUAUGCUAAAAUGCAAUCUGAAACACUGGUUGAGUAAAACUUGCCACUUUUCAAGCAGAUGCCACUUUUGUUUGUAGGACUGUUGCAGUUUCGUGCCCUCCGAAACACAUGAAUUUUGAUAAAUCCUUUUUUGUGCAAGUCCCAUCAGAAAAGAAAUAAAAAUAU